rnacentral:misc_RNA from 1 species
AUUGACAUUAAUGUGUACACAGCACAAUGGGCUCAGCCAAUUUGUUCAAGGAUGUAGAACAAUUUCCAAGUUUAAAUAAUUUGUACUCAAUAAGCAAAAGAUGAAUAUUUGCACAAGCUAUUUAGGCUAACCAUGCAUCAAUGAAUGGUACACUGAAGCAGCCUUAUAAUUUGGUGCAAUGCCAACAAUUGCAUAGUAAGGCAGAAGGCUGAAAUUGUGCUACAUUUGGAGAAGCAAUAGCUAUACUGGCACCGGGGAAGAAGGGAAGGUGAUGUUAAGCCUUCCACAUCAAAUGGCUAGAGAGGAACUGAGUCAUGGCAAUAAACGAGGGAACAAGGUUAUUAAAAUUUGGGCUUCUACUACCAAUGAGCUUUAGAUCAAUGGUACUAGAGUCAUCUUCAAGGCUAUGAAGUCUCGUGUUUAAGCCUCAAUCGGAGCUAAUUGCACUAAAAAAGUUUGGGCUUUUAGCCUUUUACUUUGAAUCAGUGGGGACAGUAUCCUGACCCAGAGUAGGAAUGGAUCAAGA